CCGGCGCACGGGUGAGUAACACGUAUGGAACCUGCCCUAUGCAGGGGGAUAAGCGGAAGAAAUUCCGUCUAAUACCGCAUAACACCUUUAGGAGACAUCUUCUUGGGGUCAAAGGAGGCGACUCCGGCAUAGGAUGGCCAUGCGUCGCAUUAGCUAGUCGGCGGGGUAACGGCCCACCAAAGCGACGAUCGGUAGCCGGCCUGAGAGGGCGGACGGCCACAUUGGGACUGAGACACGGCCCAAACUCCUACGGAAGGCAGCAG
rnacentral:rRNA from 1 species